CAUGGAAGAAAAUACACUGUUUUAGCUUGGAUGGAGGGUUAAAACGGAGAUAGAAAGAUGUGUUUAUGUAUUUAGCCAGCUUAGAGUUUGUGUCUACAUCGCGUUUCUUUCUGAGCGCCGGCGUCUUUUUUCGAUGGUUCCCAAUGAGGAGAGAGCGCUCCGCCUUUUUUGUGUGGCUGCACCAAACGCUUCCAGUUGAAAAUCUCUGAACUUUCAGAAAAGCUCUGCUGUCGUCAUUGUCACUCCUCUUCAGGCAAUCAAUCACAUCUAUGACAGAUCAUGUCACCCACAUCCUCUUUGCUCUCAAGGAAACUAUAAAAGACGGAAGGACCAUUACAUCAUAAUACCAACGUUCUAAUGCUCUGCUUGGUGCUGGUUCUAUUGAAGUCUAUGGAGAAGCACACUAAAACCCAACAUAUCUACAUCAUAUGACCUUUGAUGGAGAAAUGCUUCUACCAAAUGUAAGAACACUCUUCACAGAAUACUGACUGAUUUUUCUAAAUGUGCGCAUUCGUCUAUUUGCUGUUGAUCUCCAAAGAGCCUACUUUACAGUUCAUGGUGAGUCCAAUUAAAAUGCUCUCCAUGGCAAAUUCUUUUAAAAAGUCGCAAGUGGCCCUUAAAAUUUUGAGUUUAGGAUAAAUAAAUACUGCUAACAAAAUAUAUAGUCUUCAAUCCGUCUCUCUUCCUUUUAUUUCGGCUGCUUUAGGACGAUUGACAGGGCUAAUAAUAACUAGUGUUAUGGGAAUAUCAUGUACAAUCAACGCCUGGGCUGUAAUCCCAUUUGUCUGGUGCUCUGCUGUCCGCCAGAUCAACUGUGGAUAACGUUACAUAACGUUAGCUAACAGGCUCAGAGUUAAUUUAGUUAGGGUAUUACCACAGUUUUGCUAACUUACUAACAUAAGUCUGUUACUAACAUCAAUCACAUAUGCAAGAAGAAGCUCCAGUCUGUUAUAAAUCUAACAUAACAUUGUUGUAACUUGCAUAUUGGAUUAACAUACAAAUCAAACGAAAUGUACCUUGAAAACACAUGAAACAUUAGCUAAAUAACAACACACCAACAUAACAUCAUACAACAGUUAGAGUGGUGAUAUAAUCUUAUAGAAAUUGUCAAGAUAUUGUUUUGUUUUUUUUUAAAUUCAGGUUCUUAUAGAUGAUUUUCUUUUAUAUGAGUCGAAAGUUGUUGAGACACAACUUUCUCUGGUACUUUAGAAAAGAAUGGAAGAUUAGAGACCAGUCGAUAGUUAUUAAGAGACCCUGGAUUGAGGUGCAGUUUCUUAAAUAGAGGUUUAACCACAACCAUCCCAAUGCUUCUGGGGACAAUACCAGUCGUAAGUGAUAAAUUAACAAUAUCUAGCAUUGUAGGUCUCAGAAAAGUUUUUCUGGUAAAGGGUCAAGUAGGCAAGUAGUUGGUUUAGAAGCUGGCAUGAACUCAGUCAAAGUUUCAAGAUAGACAGGGGCGACUGAAGCUCUGAGGUAGAGCGGGUUGUCCACUAACUGGAAGACAGGCGGUUCGAUCCCCGGCUCCUCCAGUCCGCUGGUUGAUGGGCAACUUGCCAGAACCCCAAAAUGGACCCCAAAUUGCUGAUGAGCAGAAGGCGUGAAAAUGAACAAGAACUGAUGAUGGAGCUUCGCCAAGUUUUCCACACCGCACGCUGAGAAAAUUCCUGAUGCGACUGCAUCAAACCGCGAGAGUCAACAUCAGCUGAUCUGAAAGUGCUGGCCACCGUAGAAUGAUUCAUGGAAGCCGAUGAGAAAAGAAAACGGCAACCAACACAAACCACAGCAGGAAAAUAAAAACCCAAAACAACAACAUUGUUAUAAACUGAACCAGAGGAAGAUGAAGAUCUGUCAUCUUUCUGCAGGCCUGCAGCCAGUUUCCACUGAACAAAGAAACUUGUGACCUCCAAAAACUCCAGUCAUGGUUAUUUUCAGGCUUUCUGAGGUAUAAUUCAAAACAUCAUAAAAAAAAUAAAUCCAUUGUCAGACCGCCUACAUGUAUGAACAUCAAUCUGACACAAACGUUCUAUGACAAUUUAAACCUCUCACAGCUCGUCACGAUUCCUGAUUCUUCACUUUCCUUUGUCCGUUCUGCCUCCGUCUCUGCUUUCAGCCCCACACUCUGCCCAUGGUUUCGCCUUUCUCCACCUGAGCACUAGAUUCUCCCAGACUGUUUUACCUGGUUUCCACACUCACCUGCUCACCUGUUACCACUCCCCAUUACCUCAUCAGUCCCAGUAGUUGACAUACUGGUCCUUGUCAGAUUGUCAAUGGUGCAGCAUGCCUUUGCAGUCUAGACAUCCGGUUACCUCUUCCUGAUUAUAGUGGUGGAAGAAGUACUCAGAUGCUUUACUGAAGUAAA